rnacentral:rRNA from 1 species
UACGUAGGGACCAAGCGUUGUUCGGAUUUACUGGGCGUAAAGGGCGCGUAGGCGGCAAUUCAAGUCAGCCGUGAAAUCUCUGGGCUUAACCCAGAACGGCCAGCUGAUACUGCUUUGCUAGAGUGCAGAAGGGGCAAUCGGAAUUCUUGGUGUGGCGGUGAAAUGCGUAGAUAUCAAGAGGAACACCUGAGGUGAAGACGGGUUGCUGGGCUGACACUGACGCUGAGGCGCGAAAGCCAGGGGAGCAAACGGG